rnacentral:rRNA from 1 species
UAGCGUGGGAACAUACCUUUUGGUUCGGAACAACACAGGGAAACUUGUGCUAAUACCGGAUAAGCCCUUACGGGGAAAGAUUUAUCGCCGAAAGAUUGGCCCGCGUCUGAUUAGCUAGUUGGUGAGGUAACGGCUCACCAAGGCGACGAUCAGUAGCUGGUCUGAGAGGAUGAUCAGCCACAUUGGGACUGAGACACGGCCCAA